GGCGGCGUUGGAUCGGUGCAUGGCCGCAGAGCUCCUGCUCGGGGCCGCGAAGAUCUAGGGAGGGACUCGGGUGCGAGGCUGCGGGUCUAUGCAGAGAUGGCGCUGCUCCUUCAACUUUUGAAGAAUGCGCUGAGACAUCAGCUAGAUCCGCAGGUCUUGCUCCCCAAAAUCCAUCCCUUCUCUUCUUUGGUCCAAUCUGGACUGUUAAUUCCGUCAAGAGGUGUGAAUCAUCGUUUUACUGGAUGCUCUCCCGAUCAUUUCUUCAUAUGCAUUUUGUGGGUAGCAAAAUGUUCUCUCUGUAUGGAUUUGAAAAAGGACCAACUCUUACGAAAUACUUCUUAAAUAGGAUGUGCGAUUUUGAUAGUAUUUUCUAUGAAUUUUGGGAAAAUUUAUGUUAUAUAGCAUGCUUCAUUAAUUCUUUUAGCUCAAGAUAGCUCCCUUGGUGAUUCUUUUCAAUGAAGGACUUGCUCUCCAGCAUGUGGUUUGGUAUUUCUUGACUGCAAGUAUUCAGCAGCUACAACUGAACUGAAGAUCAGCAAGUAUUUAAGCAACACAUAUGUUUGGUUCGCAUGUGUUAUAACCAGAUCAACGAAGUUUCUGCACAUCAUGAGUAAGAGGCGAAGAAAUCAUGUUUGCAAAUGGCCAUCGAUUAAACCGCAGUAUUUUCAAUGAACUGUGGUAACUCUUGCCUAGAAAAACUGCAUGAGAAAAAGUCUUGCUUCAGGUGAAUUUUUGCGUUAUCAUCUUUUGUACAGGUUGAAACUAUCAAGUGUUAACUUUUGUGGUUUGUUAACAAGACUGUUCAUCAUAUCCACUUGUGCAGGUACCAUAACCAGAGUCACUUAUUCGGCAUGGUUUUAUACUGGAAUUAACCACAUAACUAAUUUUGUUUUACCACCUUGACGCCUUCAGUUACAUAGAACUUCUGUCAAUGCCCAACCGAUAAUGUACAAGUACAAUUUUAUAGAUGGUUCAAGUGAAGUUCUGCAAAGUGAAUCAAUUCUGCAAGAUACCAUGCCAUACAUUUUUCCUUGGUAGCAUUAACAUGUAUAGAUCAUUUUAUUGUGUACAACAAAGUCAACAAUACAUGUUUGUAUAACCAUGGCUUUGGUCAAUUUCUGCCAUCGAGCUUCUGCGAAAAUGUGACCAGGAACUAAUUAUGUGGUAAUUCAGUAUAGAACCUGACACUAAAUAAUACUCCCUUCGUUCACUAAUGUAAGACCUUUUAGCUUUUUCUUGAUCAGUUUCUCUUCUUCAGUUGUUGGCUGCCCGUGCAACAAUUUUUCUUGAACCAAGUACUUUGCACUAUAUUUUGAACUUUCUAAUUUUGUUCCGUGACAUGUUUUUGCAGCCUUCCAUUCAAAAUUAGAUCUGGAGGCCUUCGGAUAACAAUAAAUUUUACCUUUGUUUGUUCAUGCUUGAUAAAUUUGUUUUCCAACUGAUUAUUUGUUGUUACAAAUUUCAGAUUUUGACAGGUUUGGGUCCAUCUAUAACAUGCUUGACCGGGCGAUCACGCGGCUAUCGAGCACUCUUAUCUUCUGGUCAUAAGCUCUUACUAAGAUGUUGUCGGUCGGGUGUCCUCUACUACUGAAGUUUUACCACGAUCUGGAGGGGCUUGAGAGCAGAGACGACAUACUUUCAUCAGCAGCGGCCAAACCCCCACCGCCGCCGGGGCUGUACACCCCUGUACCCCUCGACAUCCAGUGCCUCGCGUCUGCCCAACAUGAAAACCUCCUCAAUAGGUACAUCUCUGAAUUUUUCCCUUGCUAGAGAAAGUCGAGCAUUGUUUUGCCGUAGCUAUAAUUUGAGUUUAGAAAGUAUACUACUCUCUUUUUUACGUCAAUUUUUUUAGUUGAUUUUGCUCCAGGAUAGUGCCCUUUAUGUGCAUGAACUAAUGGGUGUGUUCACAACAUAGAGCAGCUUCUCCGUCCAGUCUCAUGUCUUUCUCUUUAGCAGGGAUCAGUGAGUACUACCGAGCAAAAAAGUCCUUCUCUUCGUCAUAUUUCUUCCUUUUCCUUACUACUUUUGUGGCCCAAAUCUCAUGAUGGCUCUAUGUCUGUUCUUUUUGUUGACAUGGAUUUUACCCUGAAAGUUUCCUUCUGAUCUACAAUGUUCUGCCAUCUAAAUUUUUCUAUAUAUUAUGAAUGAGUAGACACUGGUGCAGAAGCCCAAUUGGAUGAAAUUAGGGACUACAGAGAGGUAUAAUUAUUAAUUAAUUCAUUUCUUUAAAAGAUAUGCAACUAGCAGAGUUUCUUACUUUUAUGAAUUGGAUUAUGACCGAAUUGAAGAACUUAUGUGGACAGCCCGGCAGAUUUCAAUGGCAAGACUUUUGUACAAUUACAGUGGCAGAUUUCAGAAAUUUGUAGAGCACAUGAUUUACAAUAACAAGAUAUUCUGUCAGGGUCUGUACUUUUUAUCCAUUGCACUAAUCUUUUGCUUUGAGCGAUUGGCUAAAAAAAGUACUUCCUUUGGAAUAAUCUAUCGUGCACUCACAAGUAUAAUCUCUCCAUUUCCUUUUUUUUUGUUCUUCCGUCAGUAGCUACUAUUUGCCGGUGGGUAAAUCACUCAUGGUAUUUUAAUGAGGUUCAUUCUAGCUGUUUGCUCACGAGAACAGAAACAUUUUAUCUGUUGGCUAAAUGAAAGUACAUUCUUUGAAUUUGCCACUUUUCCUGCACUCGCAAGUAUAAUCUCUCCAUUUCCUGGAUUUUUUAUUCUUCCGUUAGUAGUAUUUCUUUUAGCUACAUUCUGCCAUAGCAUAAAUUGCUCAUGCUAUUUUAGUAAGAUUCACUCCUGCUCUAUGCUCACUAGAACGGAAAAAAUAUAUAUUAUCUGCUUAUUUUAGCGUCGCAUGUCGCUCACAGUAUUCAUGGUCACAGAUAAAACAGUAAUAAACUGCCCUUCUCUGUCAAAACUUACGGAGUACAAAGUUGUCAUGUCUGAUCAGCAAAUGAUUUGCGCUUCUUUGGCACAUAUAUAUCACGGUACAGUAUAUGAUUUUCAAAGUUCUUAAUUUUAAAUUUUCCUUUUCUGGCAUAGCCAUGGAUAUCAACAAUCAGUCAAGCAAAGAAAUAUUCAUGGGAGAUAUACAGGGAUCCACAAGAAUGUGCACCGUAUGGCACUACCCUUUUGUCAUUGAGCCACUAUCACAUUUUGGUCAGCAAUCAGUUCAAGCAAUUCUCGGCGCCUUUAGUCAGAAGCUGGAAUUUACAACUAAACGAACAUCAAGCAACAGAAGAAAGGGUGGUCAUCUCUUUUUCUUGGCACCAAGAUGCCAUACAAGCAUUGAGACAUCGGAAACACACAAGAAGUUUGUAUAUAAAUGAUUAGCCUUUUAGAAGUAUAUGGCGUUGCUUAAACUAUGUUUCUUUUGGCAACACCAUAUGAAAUGGAGAAAGUUUUAGGUUUAGGCUAAAAUUGUUCUAGAUUUUGAGAAAAUUGUUACAGAUCCAUGAGAAAAAUGUCCCAACUUUAGGAAAUUAACUAUCCAUAUUUUCGGUUAUUGGUUAAUAAGCUGGCCACAAUAGUUUUUUUUAUUUCUAAGCAAGCUGGUCACAAUAGUUAACCCAAUAUAUUCCUGGUCUUUAUGUUUC